rnacentral:rRNA from 1 species
AGAGUUUGAUCCUGGCUCAGGAUGAACGCUGGCGGCGUGCCUAACACAUGCAAGUCGAGCGAACCCUUCGGGGUGAGCGGCGGACGGGUGAGUAACGCGUGGGUAACCUGCCCUAUACACACGGAUAACGUACCGAAAGGUACGCUAAUACGAGAUAAUAUAUUUUUAUCGCAUGGUAGAAAUAUCAAAGCUCCGGCGGUAUAGGAUGGACCCGCGUCUGAUUAGCUAGUUGGUAAGGUAAUGGCUUACCAAGGCGACGAUCAGUAGCCGACCUGAGAGGGUGAUCGGCCACAUUGGAACUGAGACACGGUCCAAACUCCUACGGGAGGCAGCAGUGGGGAAUAUUGCACAAUGGGCGAAAGCCUGAUGCAGCAACGCCGCGUGAGCGAUGAAGGCCUUCGGGUCGUAAAGCUCUGUCCUCAAGGAAGAUAAUGACGGUACUUGAGGAGGAAGCCCCGGCUAACUACGUGCCAGCAGCCGCGGUAAUACGUAGGGGGCUAGCGUUAUCCGGAAUUACUGGGCGUAAAGGGUGCGUAGGUGGUUUCUUAAGUCAGAGGUGAAAGGCUACGGCUCAACCGUAGUAAGCCUUUGAAACUGAGAAACUUGAGUGCAGGAGAGGAGAGUAGAAUUCCUAGUGUAGCGGUGAAAUGCGUAGAUAUUAGGAGGAAUACCAGUUGCGAAGGCGGCUCUCUGGACUGUAACUGACACUGAGGCACGAAAGCGUGGGGAGCAAACAGGAUUAGAUACCCUGGUAGUCCACGCCGUAAACGAUGAGUACUAGCUGUCGGAGGUUACCCCCUUCGGUGGCGCAG